UGCUGUUAAAGAUUGGGUUGUCUUCUGUAUAAAAUGUAAUACUUAACAUUUGUUUUCCUAGGGCGGAGUGGCAGACCAUCUAUUGUUACCAGAGAGCACAUAGACGUCCUUAUGAAGCAAGGACAUACAAUCAAAAAAAAGGCAAAAAUGAUGGGAUGUUCCUCGUCGUUUUUGAACAACAAAUCAAAGCUGGUGGACCUACACAUAAGAGGAAGACUGUCUGCCUUAGAUGACAAUCAGCUGCAAGAGCGUGUGAGCACAUUGCAGGACCAGUAUCCAAACUCUGGGAAUGAGAUGAUGAGGGUGCUGCUUCGUGCUCAAGGUGUGAUUGUCACACGGGCCAGGGUACGCUAAAUGUUGGGAAGGACAAACCUGACAUCUGCUGCAAGAAGGUGGAGUCGGACUGUUGCAAGAUGGGGCUUUGUCAUACAUGG